CCUACGGGUGGCAGCAGUGGGGAAUAUUGCACAAUGGGGGGAACCCUGAUGCAGCGACGCCGCGUGGGUGAAGGAGUAUUUCGGUAUGUAAAGCCCUAUCAGCAGGGAAGAACAAUGACGGUACCUGACUAAGAAGCACCGGCUAAAUACGUGCCAGCAGCCGCGGUAAUACGUAUGGGGCAAGCGUUAUCCGGAUUUACUGGGUGUAAAGGGAGCGUAGACGGCGGGGCAAGUCUGGAGUGAAAGGCCGGGGCCCAACCCCGGGACCGCUCUGGAAACUGCCCGGCUGGAGUGCGGGAGAGGUAGGCGGAAUUCCUAGUGUAGCGGUGAAAUGCGUAGAUAUUAGGAGGAACACCAGCGGCGAAGGCGGCUUACUGGACCGUGACUGACGUUGAGGCUCGAAAGCGUGGGGAGCAAACAGGAUUAGAUACCCUAGUAGUC
rnacentral:rRNA from 1 species